GAUGAAGAACGUAGUGAAAUGCGAUAAGUAAUGUGAAUUGCAGAAUUCAGUGAAUCAUCGAAUCUUUGAACGCACAUUGCGCCCCUUGGUAUUCCGAGGGGCAUGCCUGUUCGAGCGUCAUUAUAACCCCUCAAGCUCAGCUUGGUGUUGGGGCCUGCUGCACUGGCAGCCCUUAAAAUCAGUGGCGGCGCCAUCUGGCUCUAAGCGUAGUAAUUCUUCUCGCUAUGGAGUCCUGGUGGAUGCUUGCCAUCAACCCCCAAUUUUUCUAUGGUUGACCUCGGAUCAGGUAUGGAUACCCGCUGAACUUAAGCAUAUCAAUAAGCGGAGGA
rnacentral:misc_RNA from 1 species